rnacentral:rRNA from 1 species
GACAGAGGAGCCAAGCGUUGUCCGGAUUGACUGGGCGUAAAGCGCACGCAGGCGGAGGCGCGCGUGGGGUGUGAAAGCUGGCGGCUUAACUGCCAGUCGCCAUCCCAUACGGCGCUUCUGGAGCCUUGAAGAGGGCAGUGGAAUUGCCGGUGUAGUGGUGAAAUGCGUAGAGAUCGGCGGGAACACCCAGGGGGAAACCAGCUGCCUGGGCAAGCGCUGACGCUGAGGUGCGAGAGCGUGGGGAGCGAACCGG